rnacentral:rRNA from 1 species
GUGCCAGCAGCCGCGGUAAUACGGAGGGUGCAAGCGUUAUCCGGAUUCAUUGGGUUUAAAGGGUGCGCAGGCGGAUACUUAAGUCAGUGGUGAAAUCCCGGGGCUCAACCCCGGAACUGCCAUUGAUACUGAAUAUCUGGAAUACGGUUGAAGUGGGCGGAAUGUAGCAUGUAGCGGUGAAAUGCAUAGAGAUGCUACAGAACACCGAUCGCGAAGGCAGCUCACUAAGCCGAUAUUGACGCUCAGGCAUGAAAGCGUGGGGAGCGAACAGGAUUAGAUACCCUGGUAGUCCACGCCGUAAACGAUGAUAACUCGUUGUUGGCGACACACAGUCAGCGACUAAGCGAAAGCGAUAAGUUAUCCACCUGGGGAGUACGAUCGCAAGGUUGAAACUCAAAGGAAUUGGCGG